rnacentral:tRNA from 1 species
CAGGUUGUAGUUUAAUUUAAAAUUGAGGCUUUGGGAGCAUCUGAUCUCUUUAUAAGGGUUACCUGA